GAAAAGAUGAAAAGAAUAAAAUGUGUGAAGAACUAUCCCGUAUUUCAAGACAAAUUCUGCGUCCCGAACAGGACGCGGUUUCCCGUAUAUGACUGCAGCCUGCAAUUUCUAUUUACAAACACCAGAUGGCACUGUUCUCAUUACUUACAUAGAUCUAUAAAAAAAAAUAAAAAUCGCAGCUGCGCUUCCGUUUGCAAACGAUUCUUCCGGUCAGAAGUUACAGCUAAUUCAACAAAAAAUGUUUUAUACGCUAUGCCAUGGGGACAAUUAUAAAGAACAGGAAACUCUGUAACUGCAACAAAGGACUGGGAACAAAAGAAUCCGUGAGCUAAACCUGCUAAUGACCUGAUUAAAGCUUUUUGCAACUGGACAUGGAGGUCCAGCUCUGACAGCAGAGUCAGCCGGCAGAGGAACGCCAGCCCCCCGUCGGUCACAGUGUGGCGUCCAGGAAGCGUGAGCUUUCACAUUGACGGAGCUUCAACGGAAAAACAGCCUAUCAACACCGCGGAGAGACGGGAUUCCAUCUCCAACAGGCAGCGGAGAACAAAUCUCAUUUCUUCCUCGGUGACUGACAGGUUUAAACCCCCAACCAGAACCGCAUGUGGAGGUUUAUUUACGUGACACUGAUAUUUUGCCCGAAGAGACUCAAAUGAAGAGAAAGUAAAAGCUUCGUUUAGUACACAUUAAUAGACGCAGGUGUCAAAAAAAAGUACAGAUACUUGCAUGAAAACAUAUUCUAGUAAAAGUAUUGAUCAAUAAAAUUUUAUUUGUAUAACACAGCAAUAAGGUAUUACAAAAUGCUUUACAUCAUAAA